rnacentral:rRNA from 1 species
GAUGAACGCUGGCGGCGUGCCUAAUACAUGCAAGUCGAGCGAAGCGGGGACGGGUGAGUAACACGUGGAUAACCUCCUAUAAGACUGGGAUAACUUCGGGAAACCGGUGCUCAACCGGAUCCUUAUAGAUGGAUCCGCGCUGCAUUAGCUAGUUGGUAAGGGAACGGCUUACCAAGGCAACGAGGCAUAGCCGACCUGAGAGGGUGAUCAGCCACACGGGAACUGAGACACGGUCCAGACUCCUACGGGAGGCAGCAGUAGGGAAUCUUCCGCAAUGGGCGCAAGCCUGACGGAGCAACGCCGCGUGAGUGAUGAAGGUCUUCGGAUCGUAAAACUCUGUUAUCAGGGAAGCGGUACCUAAUCAGAAAGCCCCGGCUAACUACGUGCCAGCAGCCGCGGUAAUUC